CCUGAAGCUACCUUUCCUGGGAUCCUUAUUGGUCAGGGUCUCUACCCACACCUGGAGUGGAACUAUGAGUUGUUUUAGUUGUCUUUGAGGCUGCAAGGCUAAUAAACAGCCUUAUACUAGGCAUUAUUGUACUCUGUGGGUUUAUUUCUGAGUCCACAUACUGAGGUUCCCAUAUAGCUUCUGUUGCUAAGGUUGCCAAAUGUUUCCUGUUUUCACAGAAGGACCUUAAUUGGAGAUGAGGUUUCCAGCCAAAUCCUGUGCACGCUUACUUGGUGGCGGAGAGCCUUUUUGGGGCUGUUCUGUAAGUUUGUCAUGGCAGGCUUCGAGGGGACCCCCCGGACCUUAUGUUGCGGAUCUGAUGAUAAACUUUAUUACUUACAGUAUUUGACCAGUACAGAGAUAGGAAGGAAAGAACAUAAUGUUACACCCAGUGGGACUGAUGUGGUAUGUGGUUGCAGGUUUCUAGGGUGGUCACAUAUUGAGCCCUUGAGAACUGGGCUUUAUUUUAUUGUUAAAUUUCUAUACAGCCUCUUCUUUUUUUAUUUAUUGUUAAACAAUCUCAAGGAGGUUCACAGAAAAGUUAAAAACAAGACUGUACUUUUUUUAAAAAAAUGGAUUAAAUACUUGAGAUUCAAGUGAUGGCUCUUGUUUCAUUUUAAAAUACCUCGAAUGGCUCUUCUAUGCCAUUAGG